rnacentral:miRNA from 15 species
UUUGAUAACCUGAUGUGGGACAG